rnacentral:rRNA from 1 species
AGCGAACGCUGGCGGCAGGCUUAACACAUGCAAGUCGAACGGGCAUCGUCGGAUGUCUGUGGCAGGCGGGUGCGGAACGGGGGGGAACGCACGCUUCGGUUCGGGCUAACGCAGGGAAACAUAGCGUAAUAGCGGCUACGCCCGUGUGGGGAAAAGCGUACUUCCGGAGGGUCGGCCCGCGUCUGUUGACCCUGUUGGUGGGGUCACGGCCUACCCAGGCGACGAGCAGUAGCUUGCCUGAGAGGAUGAUCUGCCACACUGGGACUGAGACACGGCCCAGACUCCUACGGGAGGCAGCAGGGGGGAAUAUUGGACAAGGGGCGCAAGCCUGAUCCAGCCAUGCCGCGUGAGUUAUGAAGGCCUUAGGGUUGUAAAGCUCUUUUGUCCGGGACGAUAAUGACGGUACCGGAAGAAUAAGCCCCGGCUAACUUCGUG